rnacentral:rRNA from 1 species
GAUGAACGCUGGCGGCGUGCUUAACACAUGCAAGUCGAACGAUGAAGCCGGAGCUUGCUCUGGUGAAUUAGUGGCGAACGGGUGAGUAACACGUGAGUAACCUGCCCUUGACUCUGGGAUAACUGCUAGAAAUGGUAGCUAAUACCGGAUACGACCCUCGGAGGCAUCUUCAGGGGGUGGAAAGAAUUUCGGUCAAGGAUGGACUCGCGGCCUAUCAGCUAGUUGGUGAGGUAACGGCUCACCAAGGCGACGACGGGUAGCCGGCCUGAGAGGGUGACCGGCCACACUGGGACUGAGACACGGCCCAGACUCCUACGGGAGGCAGCAGUGGGGAAUAUUGCACAAUGGGCGCAAGCCUGAUGCAGCAACGCCGCGUGAGGGAUGACGGCCUUCGGGUUGUAAACCUCUUUUAGUAGGGAAGAAGCGAAAGUGACGGUACCUGCAGAAAAAGCACCGGCUAACUACGUGCCAGCAGCCGCGGUAA